UUAGUCAUGCAAAUUUGGGGUCAUUUGGUCAAAGUUUUCCACAGGAUACUGCACUCCCAAAAAUGCCUUUUUGCACAGGUCUGUGGAAUAUGCUAGGGGAAGUAGCCAUGUGAAACUGACAUCAGUGGAGUCACCCUCAGAUAAGCUAAAGCCUGUUGCCAAGAACAAGCAUCAAAACUCAAGAGCCACAGAGGAGCACAUUGCAAGGUGCCAUCUGCCCAUUGGUAAUUGAGGGUGCUCAGCACAUCACAGGAGAUGAUCAGCGUCUUGCAAAAUUGGAUCCUUAAUGCCUGAAGUGUCCAGACUGUCUACAAGGCAAUAAAGGAGGUGCUGAGGAUCUGCUAGAGACAGACAUCUGCAGGGAGGUCCAAGGCUUCUGCUCCCAUGCCUCCUGUGAAUAGCUGCUGUCAGACCCAAUAGAGAGCACCACACCCAAACAAAUGAAAAUAAUAAGCAAAGACUCUGGUUUCAGAGUGGCUGUCACAAAACAUAGCAAUCUAUUUGGAGAAAAAAACGAGCCAGUGAUAAAUGAUCUGCAAGCCCAAACCAUCCCCAGCUAAGGAAGAUUUUGAUUUAAUCACCUUUUUUGAACUAAUUAUUUCUUCUUGAUGUUCAGGAUGAUCUCAGUUAUUUGAGCAGUUACAAGAACCCAGUCAGAAAAGAAUCUGUGACAAACAAGACAGGUAUCAAAAUUACUGCACUAUCUCUGAAAUCAGAGAUAAGGAAAGAAUGCUGAUAGCAAAUUUGCAACAAGGAAGAGGAGAG